AAGCAAUGAUGAUGAAAGUUGCGCUCUUGUGGUGAUUUGGGUCUCCACAGCUUGUCUGACCUUAUCGGAUGACACCAUGCGCCACUGAGCUU